UGGGUGCAUUGCCAAUGGAUUGAACUCAUC
rnacentral:piRNA from 1 species